rnacentral:rRNA from 1 species
CGCAAGACCUCGCGCUAUUGGAGCGGCCGAUAUCAGAUUAGGUAGUUGGUGGGGUAAAGGCCUACCAAGCCGACGAUCUGUAGCUGGUCUGAGAGGACGACCAGCCACACUGGGACUGAGACACGGCCCAGACUCCUACGGGAGGCAGCAGUGGGGAAUUUUGGACAAUGGGCGCAAGCCUGAUCCAGCCAUGCCGCGUGCGGGAAGAAGGCCUUCGGGUUGUAAACCGCUUUUGUCAGGGAAGAAAUCUUCUGGGUUAAUACCUCGGGAGGAUGACGGUACCUGAAGAAUAAGCACCGGCUAACUACGUGCCAGCAGCCGCGGUAAUACGUAGGGUGCGAGCGUUAAUCGGAAUUACUGGGCGUAAAGCGUGCGCAGGCGGUCUUGCAAGACAGGUGUGAAAUCCCCGGGCUUAACCUGGGAACUGCACUUGUGACUGCAAGGCUGGAGUACGGCAGAGGGGGAUGGAAUUCCGCGUGUAGCAGUGAAAUGCGUAGAUAUGCGGAGGAACACCGAUGGCGA